rnacentral:rRNA from 1 species
AGAGUUUGAUCCUGGCUCAGGAUGAACGCUAGCGACAGGCUUAACACAUGCAAGUCGAGGGGUAACAGGGUGUAGCAAUACACCGCUGACGACCGGCGCACGGGUGAGUAACGCGUAUGCAACCUGCCUUUGACAGAGGGAUAGCCCAUGGAAACGUGGAUUAAUACCUCAUAGUCUCUUUUUCCUUCCUGGGGAAUAGAGUAAAACGAGAGUGGUCAAAGAUGGGCAUGCGUCCUAUUAGGCAGUUGGCGGGGUAACGGCCCACCAAACCGAUGAUAGGUAGGGGUUCUGAGAGGAAGGUCCCCCACACUGGUACUGAGACACGGACCAGACUCCUACGGGAGGCAGCAGUGAGGAAUAUUGGUCAAUGGUCGAGAGACUGAACCAGCCAAGUCGCGUGAGGGAUGACUGCCCUAUGGGUUGUAAACCUCUUUUCUACUGGGAGAAUAAGCCCUAUGUAUAGGGUGAUGACAGUACAGUAGGAAUAAGCAUCGGCUAACUCCGUGCCAGCAGCCGCGGUAAUACGGAGGAUGCGAGCGUUAUCCGGAUUUAUUGGGUUUAAAGGGUGCGUAGGCGGCUUUAUAAGUUAGUGGUAAAAUUUCGGAGCUUCACUCCGGUCCGCCAUUAAAACUGUAGAGCUAGAGAAUGGACGAGGUAGGCGGAAUAAGUUAAGUAGCGGUGAAAUGCAUAGAUAUAACUUAGAACUCCGAUAGCGAAGGCAGCUUACCAGACCAUAACUGACGCUGAUGCACGAGAGCGUGGGUAGCGAACAGGAUUAGAUACCCUGGUAGUCCACGCCGUAAACGAUGCUCACCGGCCCUUAGCGAUAAGACAGUUAGGGGUUAAUUGAAAGAAUUAAGUGAGCCACCUGGGGAGUACGUCGGCAACGAUGAAACUCAAAGGAAUUGACGGGGGCCCGCACAAGCGGAGGAACAUGUGGUUUAAUUCGAUGAUACGCGAGGAACCUUACCUGGGUUUAAAUGUAUGUUGCAUAAUCUGGAAACAGUUUUUCUCUUCGGAGCUAUAUACAAGGUGCUGCAUGGUUGUCGUCAGCUCGUGCCGUGAGGUGUCGGGUUAAGUCCCAUAACGAGCGCAACCCUUACCGUUAGUUGCUACGCAAGAGCACUCUAAUGGGACCGCUACCGACAAGGUGGAGGAAGGUGGGGACGACGUCAAAUCAUCAUGCCCCUUAUGACCUGGGCUACACACGUAAUACAAUGGUCAUUAACAGAGGGAAGCAAAGCCGCGAGGCAGAGCAAAACCCCAAAAAUGAUCUCAGUUCGGAUCGCAGGCUGCAACCCGCCUGCGUGAAGUUGGAAUUGCUAGUAAUCGCAGAUCAGCAUGCUGCGGUGAAUACGUUCCCGGGUCUUGUACUCACCGCCCGUCA